GCCAGGUGUGGCAUGUGCCUGUAGUCCCAGCUAUUCAGGAGGCUGAGGCAGGAGGAUCAACCUGAACCCAGGAGUUCCUAGUUACAGUGAGCUAUGAUCAAGCCACUGCACUCCAGCCUAGGUGAUGGAAUGACAUCCAUCUCUACAAAAUAAUUUUUGUUGUUUUUUUUUUUUUGAGACAGAGUCUCGCUCUGUCACCCAGGCUGGAGUGCAGUGGCUUGAUCAUAGCUCACUGUAACUAGGAACUCCUGGGUUCAAGUUGUUCCUCCUGCCUCAA
rfam:Chlorocebus sabaeus isolate 1994-021 chromosome 19, whole genome shotgun sequence.